rnacentral:rRNA from 1 species
GCAUCACAAUAAGCGGCGGAAGAGAAGCCAACAGGGGUUACCUCAGUAACGGCGGCGAGAGCGGUAACAACUCAAAAUUUAAAAUUUAAAUCUGGCUUCUUUCGAGUCCGAAUUGUAAUUUGUAGAAGAUGCUUCGGGUGUGGCCCCGGUCUAAGUUCCUUGGAACAGGACGUCAUAGAGGGUGAGAAUCCCGUAUGUGACCGGCUCCCCAUCCUCAUGUGAAGCUCCUUCGACGAGUCGAGUUGUUUGGGAAUGCAGCUCUAAAUGGGAGGUAAAUUUCUUCUAAAGCUAAAUAUUGGCCAGAGACCGAUAGCGCACAAGUAGAGUGAUCGAAAGAUGAAAAGCACUUUGGAAAGAGAGUUAAACAGUACGUGAAAUUGUUGAAAGGGAAGCGCUUGCAAUCAGACUUGCACUUGGUGUUCAUCAGGGUCUCGUACCCUGUGUACUUCAUCAAGUUCAGGCCAGCAUCAGUUUGAGUGGUUAGAUAAAGGCUUAGAGAAUGUGGCCCUCUUCGGGGGGUGUUAUAGCUCUAGGUGCAAUGUAGCCUACUUGGACUGAGGACCGCGCUUCGGCUAGGAUGCUGGCGUAAUGGUUGUAAGCGACCCGUCUUGAAACACGGACCAAGGAGUGUACCUAAUAUGCGAGUGUUUGGGUGUUAAACCCAUACGCGUAAUGAAAGUGAACGCUGGUGAGAACCCUUAAGGGUGCAUCAUCGACCGAUCUUGAUGUCUUCGGAUGGAUUUGAGUAAGAGCAUAUUGGGUGCGACCCGAAAGAUGGUGAUCUAUACGUGAAUAGGGUGAAGCCAGAGGAAACUCUGGUGGAGGCUCGCAGCGGUUCUGACGUGCAAAUCGAUCGUCAAAUUUGCGUAUAGGGGCGAAAGACUAAUCGAUCCAUCUAG